ensembl:lncRNA
UGGAUAUCUGGCUUAUGGCUUUGAAAGGGGACCGACGCAGCUCACCUCCCUGACCUGUGACUCACCUUUGAGGGCACAUACCGCUGAGGGCUGAGUGAGUAACAGGCCUAAGGGAAACCCACACACCCUGCCUCCCCCAGCCCAUGAAGCCCACGAGGAUGGGGAGUGUGUCCAUCUUAUUCCCUGCUGUGUCCUCAGGGCCCAGAUGGAGUCCAGCCCAGUUGGUGCCCAGAGAGCAUGUGUGCUGGCAAAGGACUGGGUUGGUAAAGGCUUACUAUCAGUUACUGUGUGUAUGUCGUGUGGGUUCCUGUGUGCCCACCAGUCAGUUCCCCUCUUCCUCCCUGACCAGUGCCAGUAGGCGUGUCCCUUUCACCAGCCCAGAACCGCCCAGGGGUGACUGCAGUCACCAGAGGAUAUUUAGCAUCUGUUAGGCUGGCUCUCUGACCCAAGUCAGAGGGGCCUGAUGACAUGCCCUCCACUGAUCCUGUUCUAAGCAGGCAUCACUCACUCACUUGAUAGGGAAAUGUGAGAAUGAGAUUGAAGCUGACUGGGACUUCCCUGGAGGUCCACUGGUUAAGAUUCAUGCUUCCAAUGCAAGGGCUGUGUUCGAUCCCUGGAUGGGAACUAAGAUACCAUGUGCCAUAUAAUGUGGCUAAAAACAAAAAAAAAAUUGAAGCAGAAAACUCUCAGGGGUCAGAGGUAGCUGGUAGCCCCUUUUCGGGCAAGAGCCAGACCCUGAUUUGGGCUGAGGCAAGGGGGAAGGGGAUAGGACCCUGUUGGCCAGGCCAGUAGCUCUAGAGACCUUAGCAAGCAGGGACACAAGGGGAUAAAACCAGCAUUCAAGAACAGCUCACCUGAAAGCCACCCCCACCCCAGCUGCCCAUCCUUGCCACCUCACGUAGCAGUGCAUGGGCAAGGGGGCAGUUGGGAGCCCACAGCCUUAGCUCUGCUCUGUGCCUCGUCCCCUCAGCUGCCCCCGUGCCCCUUCUGGGCUUGUCUCCUCUUCUGUGGAGUAUGGGUGAUAUUUUGUUGUUUAGUCGCCUAGUUGUGUUCAGCACUUUGUGACCCCAUGGACUGUAGCCUGCCAGGCUCCUCUGUCCAUGGGCUUCUCUAGGCAAGAAUACUGGAGUGGGUUGCCAUUUCAUUCUCCAGGGGCUCUUCCCCACCCAGGGAUUGAAGCUAGGUUUCCUGGAUCGGCAGGC